rnacentral:rRNA from 1 species
CAGUCGAGGGGCAGCAUUUUAGUUUGCUUGCAAACUGAAGAUGGCGACCGGCGCACGGGUGAGUAACACGUAUCCAACCUGCCGAUAACUCCGGGAUAGCCUUUCGAAAGAAAGAUUAAUACCGGAUAGCAUACGAAUAUCGCAUGAUAUUUUUAUUAAAGAAUUUCGGUUAUCGAUGGGGAUGCGUUCCAUUAGUUUGUUGGCGGGGUAACGGCCCACCAAGACUACGAUGGAUAGGGGUUCUGAGAGGAAGGUCCCCCACAUUGGAACUGAGACACGGUCCAAACUCCUACGGGAGGCAGCAGUGAGGAAUAUUGGUCAAUGGGCGCGAGCCUGAACCAGCCAAGUAGCGUGAAGGAUGAAGGCUCUAUGGGUCGUAAACUUCUUUUAUAUGGGAAUAAAGUUUUCCACGUGUGGAAUUUUGUAUGUACCAUAUGAAUAAGGAUCGGCUAACUCCGUGCCAGCAGCCGCGGUAAUACGGAGGAUCCGAGCGUUAUCCGGAUUUAUUGGGUUUAAAGGGAGCGUAGGUGGAUUGUUAAGUCAGUUGUGAAAGUUUGCGGCUCAACCGUAAAAUUGCAGUUGAAACUGGCAGUCUUGAGUACAGUAGAGGUGGGCGGAAUUCGUGGUGUAGCGGUGAAAUGCUUAGAUAUCACGAAGAACUCCGAUUGCGAAGGCA